rnacentral:rRNA from 1 species
UACGUAGGGUGCAAGCGUUUGUCCGGAAUUAUUGGGCGUAAAGAGCUCGUAGGCGGUCUGUCGCGUCUGCUGUGAAAACUCAGGGCUUAACCCUGAGCUUGCAGUGGGUACGGGCAGACUAGAGUGCGGUAGGGGAGACUGGAAUUCCUGGUGUAGCGGUGAAAUGCGCAGAUAUCAGGAGGAACACCGGUGGCGAAGGCGGGUCUCUGGGCCGAUACUGACGCUGGAGGAGCGAAAGCGUUGGGGAGCGAACAGG